UCUAGAAGUGCGCGUCGUGUCUAUAAUUUAAAAAGUAUUGAAAUUGUGAUUAGCUAAAGAGUGUUUAAAACUUAUUAAUUAUUGUGUUGUUUCUUUUCAUAAAAACUUAGAGGCUCAAAACUAAUAGUACGGGCAAUAGUACGGAAGAAGUUUGUGAAUAACGAGAACAAAAUAGUACGGUUGGUGUUUGUCAGAAUUUGCUAAAACUAUUGUUACAAUUUACUUUUAUUAUUGUAUAGUUUGCUCAAAAUCAGCUAAGAAAAUUUCACUGCAAAACAUUUGUGUGAUUUAGAAAUAGUCCAAGAGAAAGGUCCAGAAACGGGCCUUUCUCUUUUCUAUAUGUUCUCGGAACAAGUUCCGACUAUUCCUCAGGACUUCCGAGAAGCCACAGCCCGAUACGCUACGAACAUCGUCCCGAAAAGUUAAUGGUGAGCAGGAAAGUAUUGAACCAUCCGUCAAUCUGGUUUAUAACCCCCCCCCCCCAACUGCUGGGAUCAGCAUGCGCUUCAGACCACCAACAAUGUCUGGAUGUGCCCAUUACCGACUCGAACCACCAUCGAACAUCAUCCGUCAGGUGCUAUUCGCCACCGGAAUGCACCGCAACGCCAUCUACAAGCGACAGUCAUCUGCAAGCUACCACCGAUCCGGAUCCCAACGAUAAACAACCGCAAGUACCCUAAGUGACGUCAGAGUAGGAGAUGUGAGGCGUCCAAAAUGGACGAAUAAAUAGUUGUUAAGAAAAA